rnacentral:tRNA from 1 species
GGAGAGAUGGCUCAGCGGUUAAGAGCACUGGAUGUUUUUCCAGAGGUCCUGAGUUCAAUUCUCAGCACCC